rnacentral:tRNA from 1 species
UUAACUUUGCCUAUUAGUUAGGAUUUUCUUUUACAUUGAAAUUUAAUAAUGUGCAAUUCAUUAGGGUUAAA